rnacentral:rRNA from 1 species
GUGUCAGCAGCCGCGGUAAUACGAAAGGUGCAAGCGUUACUCGGAAUCACUGGGCGUAAAGCGCACGUAGGCGGACUCGUAGGUCAAUUGUGAAAUACCUGGGCUCAACCUGGGAACUGCAGUUGAAACCACUUGUCUUGAAUACCUGAGAGGGUGGGGGAAUACCUGGUGGAGAAGUGAAAUUCGUAGAGAUCAGGUGGAACACCGGAGGCGAAGGCGCCUGCCUGGCAGUGUAUUGACGCUGAGGUGCGAAAGUGCGGGGAGCAAACAGGAUUAGAUACCCCUGUAGUCC